UUUGAUACAAGGGUUCUGUCUCCAUUA
rnacentral:piRNA from 1 species